rnacentral:rRNA from 1 species
UACGUAGGGUGCAAGCGUUGCUCGGAAUCACUGGGCGUAAAGCGUGAGUAGGUGGACUUUUGGUAAGUCAGGUGUGAAAGCCUUGGGCCUAACCCAAGAAGUGCACUUGAUACUGCCAGUCUAGAGUUCGGGAGAGGGAAGCAGAAUUCCAGGUGUAGGGGUGAAAUCCGUAGAUAUCUGGAGGAAUACCAGUGGCGCAAGCGGCUUCCUGGACCGAUACUGACACUGAGUCACGAAAGCGUGGGGAGCAAACAGG